CAUUACAGCACAGCCAUUCU
rnacentral:miRNA from 1 species